rnacentral:rRNA from 1 species
UACGUAGGGUGCGAGCGUUGUCCGGAAUUACUGGGCGUAAAGAGCUCGUAGGUGGUUUGUCGCGUUGUUCGUGAAAACUCACAGCUUAACUGUGGGCGUGCGGGCGAUACGGGCAGACUGGAGUACUGCAGGGGAGACUGGAAUUCCUGGUGUAGCGGUGGAAUGCGCAGAUAUCAGGAGGAACACCGGUGGCGAAGGCGGGUCUCUGGGCAGUAACUGACGCUGAGGAGCGAAAGCGUGGGGAGCGAGCCGG